GGGUUGUGAGGUUAAGCGACUAAGCGUACACGGUGGAUGCCCUGGCAGUCAGAGGCGAUGAAGGACGUGCUAAUCUGCGAUAAGCGCCGGUAAGGUGAUAUGAACCGUUAUAACCGGCGAUUUCCGAAUGGGGAAACCCAGUGUGAUUCGUCACACUAUCAUUAACUGAAUCCAUAGGUUAAUGAGGCGAACCGGGGGAACUGAAACAUCUAAGUACCCCGAGGAAAAGAAAUCAACCGAGAUUCCCCCAGUAGCGGCGAGCGAACGGGGAGGAGCCCAGAGCCUGAAUCAGCAUGUGUGUUAGUGGAAGCGUCUGGAAAGGCGCGCGAUACAGGGUGACAGCCCCGUACACAAAAGCGCAUGUGCUGUGAGCUCGAUGAGUAGGGCGGGACACGUGGUAUCCUGUCUGAAUAUGGGGGGACCAUCCUCCAAGGCUAAAUACUCCUGACUGACCGAUAGUGAACCAGUACCGUGAGGGAAAGGCGAAAAGAACCCCGGCGAGGGGAGUGAAAAAGAACCUGAAACCGUGUACGUACAAGCAGUGGGAGCACAGGUUUACCUGUGUGACUGCGUACCUUUUGUAUAAUGGGUCAGCGACUUAUAUUCUGUAGCAAGGUUAACCGUAUAGGGGAGCCGUAGGGAAACCGAGUCUUAACCGGGCGUUAAGUUGCAGGGUAUAGACCCGAAACCCGGUGAUCUAGCCAUGGGCAGGUUGAAGGUUGGGUAACACUAACUGGAGGACCGAACCGACUAAUGUUGAAAAAUUAGCGGAUGACCUGUGGCUGGGGGUGAAAGGCCAAUCAAACCGGGAGAUAGCUGGUUCUCCCCGAAAGCUAUUUAGGUAGCGCCUCGUGAAUUCAUCUCCGGGGGUAGAGCACUGUUUCGGCUAGGGGGCCAUCCCGGCUUACCAACCCGAUGCAAACUGCGAAUACCGGAGAAUGUUAUCACGGGAGACACACGGCGGGUGCUAACGUCCGUCGUGAAGAGGGAAACAACCCAGACCGCCAGCUAAGGUCCCAAAGUCAUGGUUAAGUGGGAAACGAUGUGGGAAGGCCCAGACAGCCAGGAUGUUGGCUUAGAAGCAGCCAUCAUUUAAAGAAAGCGUAAUAGCUCACUGGUCGAGUCGGCCUGCGCGGAAGAUGUAACGGGGCUAAACCAU
rnacentral:rRNA from 5 species